CAGUCGCCACGGGAAUACGAAGGGUGCAAGCGUUAAUCGGAAUUACUGGGCGUAAAGCGUGCGUAGGCGGUGAGUUAAGUCUGCUGUGAAAUCCCCGGGCUCAACCUGGGAAUGGCAGUGGAUACUGGCUCGCUAGAGUGUGUCAGAGGAUGGUGGGAUUCCCGGUGUAGCGGUGAAAUGCGUAGAGAUCGGGAGGAACAUCAGUGGCGAAGGCGGCCAUCUGGGACAACACUGACGCUGAGGCACGAAAGCGUGGGGAGCAAACAGGAUUAGAUACCCCCGUAGUCCCUGUCUCUUAUAC
rnacentral:rRNA from 1 species